CCUAUGGGGCGCAGCAGGCGCGAAAACUCCGCAAUGCGCGCAAGCGUGACGGGGGGACCCCAAGUGCCGUUGGUCUUUUGAUCGACGGUUUUUAGGAAGAGUAAGAAGCUUCCGGAAUAAAGGGCUGGA
rnacentral:rRNA from 1 species